rnacentral:misc_RNA from 1 species
CAGAGAUCAUGCCCUCACGGGUAGACCUCCCACCCUGUGUUAUUUACUAUUGUUGCUUUGGCGCGCCGCCCUCGGGCCCCCGGCUCCGGCUGGGGAGCGCGCGCCAGAGGACCCCAACUCUGUGUUUAGUGUCGUCUGAGUACUAUAUAAUAAGUUA